GGAUUACCUUGAUAGGGUAAAUAAUGUGGUUAUAAUCAUAUUCAUUGUUCUU
rnacentral:tRNA from 1 species